rnacentral:rRNA from 1 species
AGAGUUUGAUCAUGGCUCAGAACGAACGCUGGCGGCGUGGAUAAGACAUGCAAGUCGAACGAGACUUUUCGUUGUAGCAAUACGAUGGAAAGUUUAGUGGCGAACGGGUGCUUAACACGUGGGCAACCUGCCAGGAAGUGGGGGAUAGCUCGCCGAAAGGCGAAUUAAUACCGCAUGUGAUUAGAGAGGACAUCCUUUCAAAAUUAAAGUCGGGGCAACCUGACGCUUCUUGUGGGGCCCGCGGCCUAUCAGCUAGUUGGUGAGGUAACGGCCCACCAAGGCUUUGACGGGUAGCUGGUCUGAGAGGACGACCAGCCACACUGGGACUGAGACACGGCCCAGACACCUACGGGUGGCAGCAGUCGAGAAUUUUUGACAAUGGGGGAAACCCUGAUCGAGCGACGCCGCGUGGAGGAUGAAGGUCUUCGGAUUGUAAACUCCUGUCAUUGGGGAACAAUGCACAGAUAUUAACUGUAUUUGUGUUGAUAGUACCCGAAGAGGAAGAGACGGCUAACUCUGUGCCAGCAGCCGCGGUAAUACAGAGGUCUCAAGCGUUGUUCGGAUUCAUUGGGCGUAAAGGGUGCGUAGGCGGCGCGGUAAGUCGGGUGUGAAAUCUCGGAGCUUAACUCCGAAACUGCAUUCGAUACUGCCGUGCUUGAGGACUGGAGAGGAGACUGGAAUUUACGGUGUAGCGGUGAAAUGCGUAGAUAUCGUAAGGAAGACCAGUGGCGAAGGCGGGUCUCUGGACAGUUCCUGACGCUGAGGCACGAAGGUCAGGGGAGCAAACGGGAUUAGAUACCCUAGUAGUCC